rnacentral:rRNA from 1 species
CCUACGGGAGGCAGCAGUAGGGAAUAUUGCUCAAUGGGGGAAACCCUGAAGCAGCAACGCCGCGUGGAGGAUGAAGGUUUUAGGAUUGUAAACCCCUUUUGUUAGAGAAGAUUAUGACCGUAUCUAACGAAUAAGCACCGGCUAACUCUGUGCCAGCAGCCGCGGUAAUAUGGAGGGUGCAAGCGUUAUUCGGAAUCACUGGGCGUAAAGAGUGCGUAGGCGGGGUAAUAAGUCAGAUGUGAAAUCCUCGAGCUUAACUUCGGAACUGCAUUUGAAACUGUUACUCUGGAGUGUGGGGGAGGUAGGUGGAAUUCGUGGUGUAGGGGUGAAAUCCGUAGAGAUGAAGAGGAAUACUCGUUGCGAAGGCGACCUGCUGGAACGUAACUGACGCUGAUGCGCGAAAGCGUGGGGAGCGAACAGGAUUAGAUACCCUAGUAGUC